CGGGACGGGUGAGUAAUGUCUGGGAAACUGCCUGAUGGAGGGGGAUAACUACUGGAAACGGUAGCUAAUAUCGCAUAACGUCGCAAGACCAAAGAGGGGGACCUUCGGGCCUCUUGCCAUCGGAUGUGCCCAGAUGGGAUUAGCUAGUAGGUGGGGUAAAGGCUCACCUAGGCGACGAUCCCUAGCUGGUCUGAGAGGAUGACCAGCCACACUGGAACUGAGACACGGUCCAG
rnacentral:rRNA from 1 species